rnacentral:rRNA from 1 species
UACGGGGGGAGCGAGCGUUGUUCGGAAUUAUUGGGCGUAAAGCGCGUGUAGGCGGUUUGGUAAGUCAGAUGUGAAAGCCCUGGGCUCAACCGAGGAAGUGCAUUUGAAACUACCAUUCUUGAGUAUGGGAGAGGAGAGUGGAAUUCCCAGUGUAGAGGUGAAAUUCGUAGAUAUUGGGAGGAACACCCGUGGCGAAGGCGACUCUCUGGACCAAUACUGACGCUAAGACGAGAAAGCGUGGGGAGCAAACAGG